GAUGAAGAACGUAGCGAAAUGCGAUAAGUAAUGUGAAUUGCAGAAUUCAGUGAAUCAUCGAAUCUUUGAACGCACAUUGCGCCCGCCAGUAUUCUGGCGGGCAUGCCUGUUCGAGCGUCAUUUCAACCAUCAAGCCCCCGGCUUGCGUUGGGGACCUGCGGCUGCCGCAGGCCCUGAAAUGCAGUGGCGGGCUCGCUGUCACUCCGAGCGUAGUAGUUACAUCUCGCUCUGGGCGUGCUGCGGGUUCCGGCCGUUAAAAGCCUUAUUUACCCAAGGUUGACCUCGGAUCAGGUAGGAAGACCCGCUGAACUUAAGCAUAUCAAUAAGCGGAGGA
rnacentral:misc_RNA from 1 species